CCCACCUCCCGGGCCAGACCUUACUCAUGCAGGUUAAAGAGACCAACUAUUGAAUAUCAACAAUCACACACAUACCACAUCUCUCAUACACGCACGCACACACACCUGCUCACACUCAACCACGUCCCUCUCUCUCUCUCACACACACACACACACACACACGUGUGUGCGCACACAGACUCCAACUUCCUUGCCCCUCAUGGCUCAUCCUCAACUCCUGCUCCUACCACCUCCCAUGCCAGCCCCCCACCUCUCGAACCCCACAACCCCACCCAUGUUCUGCAGCUGGGCCCUCCGGCCCCUCCCAUCCCCCCCUCCAGGUCCCUCUCUGCAGAGGAAAGGGGGAGACCAAGGGCCCCUCCUGCUCGGGAGUUCUGCGAACCGAACCUCGGGGGGCUCUCCACUGCCCCAGGCCCAGCCCCGAAGCAGCCAAGCCUGGACACAGGCUGACCGAGGGUCUGCUGUCUCCCCAUUAGCACCCUGGCCCCUAGAGAAGCAGGCAGCAGGCCUGAUUUGCAGCCCCUGCCCUUCUCGGCAUCCCCCGGAGCCCCCCCGGAGGCUCCACACUCCUCCCUCAUCUCCCUCCCCAGACAUCCCAAGAGAAGACAUGUGGACGGACCUCCGGCCCAACCACGCCAAACUCCUGGAGAGAGGACCUGGCUCGAGGCCACGCGUCUUCCCAGGUUGUUUCCAAGUGGCUCCAAGUGGGCCGGGCAGGCGUGUGGCUGGACAGUCCCCACCCAGGAGCCAGGGCAAAUUCCCAGGGUAGCAGGUCACUGAGCCACGGCUCCGGGGACUGGCCAGCGCCAGAGUGAUGAUGCCGCUGGGGCGCUAGGCACCUGCUGCUCCCCCUGCCUGCCCGCACCCCCACGGAAAGCCUUGUCCCUCCCCAGCCUGGUCCCCACGCACCUCCCACCCCUCUCUGGGAAGCUCCCCCCAGGGACCCCACCCAGCUCUUACCACCGCUUGCUCCGCGUCCCCUUGGUGCCUAGAUCCAGAGUUUUCCCUGUAUUCGGGUGCCCUUGGUUUAUGUGCUGCUUUGCAGACGUUCCCAUAAAGCUUCACAUUCCUCAGUCAUCGCGAGUCCUUCUCUCAGUUAAUUAAGCCCAUUUUGCCGGGAUAUUAGUCCCUGCCCUCAAGGAGCACCGAGGAAGACUCGGGGAUCUAAGUCACGCCUCCCUUCCUACAAUGUUUUCCUCUGAUAAUCAAGCAGUCUCCCCAAUGAAAUCCCCCCCAAAUAAGCAGCUUCUCCCCGCAUCCAAGUCCUCGCCUCCGAUUGCCAGAGAGGCCCCAGAGAAGGUCAUCUCGGGGCAGGAAUCCCCGGGGAGCACCCGGCGGAGGUUGGCUUUUCCUCCAGGGAAGCCUCUCCCUCCGGAGGGCUGCGAACCCUUCGGAGGUCCCUCGUCCUGGCUUCCGGGGCCAGACAUUAUCCUAGUGCUCUGGACC
rnacentral:lncRNA from 12 species